AACAACAAUAAAGUUGAGCUGAAAUUACGACAAGCAACAACCACUGUACCAUAUGUAAGUACGACGACGACGAGAAGGAAACCAAGAAACUUCGCACUGGCAAAAUGUCUGCCGCAACGCUGUGCUCUGUACCAAGCCGCUCCGAACCGAACCGGGCCACAUCACAACGACGACCAACCAGCAAUAUGAACCAACAUGACUUGAGUUGCAGCUGAGUUGAAUGGUGUGCGCCGCCGUUAGCUGGCUGGCUGACUCGAUGUCGCUGCUUGCCUAACUGGCUGAGCAAGCAAUGUACGAACGAGCUGAAAUGCCGAUAAGGGUGUGGUAUGGACACCCAAACGGGGUAAGCGCGCCGGCGGGUGCUACGCGGCGUUGAAGGUGAAGCAUGCUAUGGCAACGGCAGUGUCGACCAACAGCCCAAGCACCAAACAAAUGCACAUUUUCAGAGAUAUAAAUAUAGCUAUAGCAGCAAUGUUGAAUUAAUGACAGCAAAAAACAACAACAACAGCAAUGGCAACAACAGCAAAGGCAAGAACAGCAAUGGUAAAUAUCAACACAGCGUUUAUAGUACAGCAGCAAACGAGCGACCAUAAGCACUAUGGGCAUCACCGAGUGAUUAACGAAGAAACCGAUUCCAACUAGAGUGGUCGAAUCUGGUGCCCGUUGGUUCAAUUACACCUAUCCUCAAUCAAAUCACCAGCUUUCCCGACCAACGAGUUGAACAGUGACGAAUCGAAGACGUGUUCUGUUAGAUACAUUAUCGAAUAACUUUCACUGGGUAACGUUAACAUGGAUACUUACCAAACCAAACCGGCAACGGACGAGCUCAUCGCUUCACAAAUUGUGGGUUAAACAAGAUUUCCGUGACGUAGUCACCGCAGACGAGUCAUGGUCGCAGAUUGCCAAGCAAACACGUAAAAAUAUAUACAGAUGUAGAUAUGUAUGUACCCGUACGAGCCGGAUUGUAUUGUUUAUGCCACAUUUUAGACUAAGCCAAAUGCGCGCCCCAUGCAAACCAGCGGCUUAAAAAAAAAAAAAACAAAAUACACUAUAAUAACAACAACAAAAUACAAGCACAAUGGGUGACAACGGAAUGCAUACCAUGGAGCAGGGAGCAGCUAGACAACCACCCAGUUGAAGGGUAUGCCACAGACACAACAAGCACAUGCAUACAUACGUAAUUAUAUCGGACCACAGGUGAUGUCUGAGGCAGUGAAGCGGCGCAGCAGACCAGGCAUGCCCCAUGUGAUUUAUGACAUGCAAAAGCGCUUCUAAGCGCACACACAAACAUACAAAGCAAAAACAAAAAAUAUUAAUGCAUGUUAGAGUAAAUGGUUUUUGAAUAUUUUGCAAACGCUUUGUUGUUGUACUACAUACAAACAU